rnacentral:tRNA from 1 species
GGCGGCGUGAACCGGGAUCCACCACCGGACUGUCGAUCCGGAGGUUACGGGUUCGAGCCCCGCCGGCCUCG